rnacentral:rRNA from 1 species
GACGAACGCUGGCGGCAUGCCUAAUACAUGCAAGUCGAGCGGGAGUUCUUUUGAAAGCUUGCUUUCAAAAGAACUUAGCGGCGGACGGGUGAGUAACACGUAGGCAACCUACCCUUUAGGCUGGGAUAACUACCGGAAACGGUAGCUAAUACCGGAUAAUUCCUGUUCUCACCUGAGAAAAGGAUGAAAGGCGGAGCAAUCUGUCACUAAGGGAUGGGCCUGCGGCGCAUUAGCUAGUUGGUGAGGUAACGGCUCACCAAGGCGACGAUGCGUAGCCGACCUGAGAGG